CAACCUCAGAGUCCAAUCAAUUCAGCUAAAAAUCAAAGCCAUGAGCUCAAGCACCACAGAAUCCAUUUCAGAAGCUCAGACUCCACUAACCUCAGGGAUGAAGCUUCAGACUCUGAACUACAUUGUCACAGUUGAUCUAGGAGGGAGAAACAUGACUUUGAUCGUCGACACUGGAAGUGACUUGACAUGGGUCCAAUGCCAGCCUUGCAAGUCAUGUUACAACCAACAAGGUCCUUUGUAUGACCCAUCAGUCUCAUCUUCUUACAAGACAGUGUUCUGCAACUCAUCAACUUGUCAGGAUCUUGUAGAAGCAACAGGCAAUUCAGGCCUCUGUGGAGGUAACAAUGGUGUUGAUAAGACGACUUGUGACUACGUUGUCAGCUAUGGGGAUGGAUCAUACACUCGUGGAGACUUGGGAAGUGAAAGUAUCCAACUCGGCGACACAAAUGUUGAAAGCUUUGUAUUUGGUUGUGGCCGAAGCAACAAAGGUUUGUUUGGUGGAGCUUCUGGUCUAAUGGGUUUGGGAAGAAGCUCAGUCUCUUUAGUCUCCCAAACCAUGAAAAGUUUCAACGGUGUUUUCUCAUACUGUCUACCUUCUCUUGAAGAUGGAGCUUCAGGCUCACUAUCCUUCGGUGAUGAUUACAAGAACUCAACCUCAGUUUCAUACACUCCUUUAGUGCAAAACCCUCAGCUUAGUUCCUUUUACGUUCUGAACCUCACCGGAGCUAGCAUUGGUGGCGUGGAGCUGGAGUCUUCAAGCUUUGGUAGAGGGAUUCUAAUCGAUUCAGGAACGGUCAUCACUAGGUUGCCGCCUUCCAUUUACAAAGCUGUGAAGAGAGAGUUUCUAAAACAGUUCUCUGGGUUUCCUUCAGCUCCAAGCUAUUCAAUCUUAGACACUUGUUUUAACCUCACAAGUUAUGAAGACGUCAGCAUACCAACUAUCAAAAUGAUCUUCCAAGGUAACGCUGAGCUUGAAGUGGAUGUCACUGGUGUGUUCUACUUUGUCAAGCCUGAUGCAUCUCUAGUCUGCUUGGCCUUGGCAAGCCUUUCAUAUGAAAACGAAGUCGGUAUUAUUGGAAACUACCAACAGAAAAACCAGAGAGUGAUAUAUGAUACCAAACAAGAGAAGCUUGGGAUAGCAGGAGAAAACUGCAGUUUCUGAUGUCUAUCCAAUGACUUGUAUAAUAAGCUUUGUGUGUUCCCCCCCUCAUAUCAUGAAAGCCAAUCAUCUUUUUUGGUAAAGUCUUUGAAACAAAAAAUUAUAAAGUAGAAAAAUAAUCAAAUAAAGAAAGAUCAUUUUAUAUUAAGAGUAAUAAAACAAAUCCCACUAUAUAAAAGGGACUAAUUGAGAAAGAUAUGUGUAGAUACUGUAUCUUUGCUUUAGUUUAGUAUUUAAUUGCGUGAUUUAAGGGUUAGAUUAGCAAAAGCCUCAACAUUUGUAAACAUUUUAAUUAAAGUCAUUACCUUUACAUUACUUUUCUUAGCUCCCUUUCUUUCAAUUGGGAUUAGUAAUAGUACUAUAGUUGUUUUUCUAAAGCUUUACACAUGUAUUUAUAGAAUCUUAAGAUUCUUUCCUCCAUAAGAGAACACUCAUCUAACAUAAAUGUUUGUAUCUUUUGCUUGUAAACUCUGUUUCUAAUCAUCUGUUUUUGAUAUCCCCUUGUUGACUCUUUAUUUUUGUUUAAAAAACUUAGGCAAAGGAAGAGAAUCAUCCACUACACUGGAGAUGAAACAUAGAGAAAUUUGCUCAGGAAAGACUAUAGAUUGGGGUAAGAAGCUGAGAAGAGCCUUGACUCUAGACAACCUCAGAGUCCAAUCAAUUCAGCUAAAAAUCAAAGCCAUGAGCUCAAGCACCACAGAAUCCAUUUCAGAAGCUCAGACUCCACUAACCUCAGGGAUGAAGCUUCAGACUCUGAACUACAUUGUCACAGUUGAUCUAGGAGGGAGAAACAUGACUUUGAUCGUCGACACUGGAAGUGACUUGACAUGGGUCCAAUGCCAGCCUUGCAAGUCAUGUUACAACCAACAAG
rnacentral:lncRNA from 1 species